ensembl:lncRNA
CUGGAAUGGACAGGCCAACCGUUUUUUGUCAGAGUUGAAUUUUCGUACCAGGUUAAGAAAAUUUCCGGAGCGGGUUAAGAUAAUUAACGUGGCAGGUUAGGUGAAUUAGGUUAGGUGAAUUAGGUUAGGUUAGUUUAGUUUAGUUUAGGUUAGGUUAGGACAGCGGUUAGCUGAAAUGCAAAAAAAAUAAAAGCUGUACUCUUUCCAGCCAUGACGGUGUUUCCCCCGACGAUGGAUAUGAAAACGUUUGAAUCGCGUGUGGCAACCAACUCAAUCAAAAAUAUUAAGAUGUAACCGUACCCAAAAUACAAUUCAAGGCGAUACAUUCCAUGCCACUGAAGAUGCUUGAUAUCUCAGAGCAAGCAAAAGCCUCUAUGUCAUUCAACUGUUGACAUUGACAAUGCAACAUACCCUAUACAGUCGGCCUAUAUCCUAUAUGUUAUAACUAUGAGAUAUGCAAUCUGAAAUUAAUGAUGAUGUGUGUGUAUGAAACAUGGUUGCAAUGUCAACAGUUUGAAGAUCAUCAAGUUGUCACUGCCUCUUUGUGUGCACUUCCUCGCGCAGACCAUAGAAGAGGAUUGAUUGCACAAAUGAGAGCUCAGCAGGGCCCUCGCACAGGUGUCAGGUAACCGCACAGGUAAAAUGAGCCGACCUGGGAAGAAGACUGCAAAAUGAAGAUGGAAUGUAAGACCUAACCUGACCUAUAAACCAGUUGGAGAGAGAGAGAGCAGUUGAUUUGAAUGGAAAAUAACAAUAGGCCUCAUGAUGGGCCACAUAAAGGCAGAUGACAGGUCACCGUUACAUGCUAAGUUAACAUUUAAUAUUACACUUUGAAUACACCGGCAGCAGUAUCUGUCUCAGAUAUUGCAAUAAGUUUCAUCACUCUUACAAAUCCAUUGUCAUAUGUAUGUAAACCUAGGAUAAAGUGAUGCUUUCUGAGAUAUAUAAUACUGCUCUAAUUAUUAUUCUGUGAUGGAGAUGAUCCAGGCUGUAUCACAACCGGCCGUGAUUGGGAGUCCCAUAGGGCCGCACAUAAUUGGCCCAGCAUCGUCCGGGUUUGGCUGGUGUAGGCCGUCAUUGUAAAUAAGAGUUUAGUCUUAACUGACUUGCCUAGUUAAAUAAAGUUUUUUUUUUUUAAAUGUGGUGCCCCUGGCCUGAAAAUUAUGAAAUUGAAAGAGCAUGUAGUGCAGGCCUACACAUAAAGGAGUUCUAGCGCCCCCUUGUGUCCAGCAGGAUACAUUUGCUCACAUUGUAUAUAGAUUUAUUUUUCUACUGUAUUAUUGACUGUAUGUUUGUUUAUCUCCAUGUGUAACUCUGUCUUGUUAUAUGUGUCGAACUGCUUUGCUUUAUCUUGGCCAGGUCGCAGUUGUAAAUGAGAACUUGUUCUCAACUUGCCUGCCUGGUUAAAUAAAGGUGAA